rnacentral:lncRNA from 1 species
CCAGAUUAGAAUUUGUUGAUUGACAAAAUUUGAAUUAAACUCCAUGAAGGAGAAGAACAAACUCCAUAAAAGGAGAACAAAAUACACUCCGUAAAAGGAGGAAAUGACACUCCAUUAAAGGAGGAAGAAUCACUCCAUAGAAGGAGGAAGAGAAACCUCCAUGGAAGGAGGGAUUGGAAGACUACAAUCCAAUGAACUACAACGCCUACACGUGCAGUAUUUAUAGAAAUAAAGUGACUAACUAACAACUACUAACUAAUUAACUAUAACAGCUGGAAAGAACUGGCUGAAUCUGUGAGGAAGGCUGGAGAAUGAAUCUUAUCCGUUGAAUAAGAUUUCUGGGAUCUAGAAUCUGGUUGAGCUAGAAGGAAUAUUCUGGUGUAAUCUGCUGGAAUAUUCUGAUACACCCCCCUCAAGAUGGACUAGGGAGAUUGACAAUAGUCCAUCUUGAAGAUCGAGGAUGACAAAAUCUAAUAUAGAUCAAUUGCUGAAUUCAUAAUGUUGUUCAAUCAAAAUGCCAGUAUUCCAUUCCCAGAAAUAAUAACGAAGAGCUUUGUUGUUCAUUUUAUCCAACAUCUUGAGUGUAGCUUCAAUUACUAAAGAGAAGAGUGAAAAGGAUGUCAAGCAGUAAUCAACGUUGGGGAUUUGUAUGCAGACGAGGAAAAAGAAUUUCUGAUCAACUUGUCAGUUCCGAUACUUCGAGUUGCUAGUUGAAUACGUCGACCAAAGUUGUGUCCCUGUAGAUACCACAGUUAACUUGGAAGUGGAUCGGCAGAGAAUCACCUUUCGGCAGCAGAAGGCAUUUCAGAGGCUCAAAGGAUUGCGCAGAUUGGAAAUCUAAGUGAUGCACGGGAUCUACUGACAACGAGGAGUCCCCUUUAAAUUUCUUGAUUGUGAAUCCCGAUCUAAUUUCGGGGUUGAGAAUUCAAGUCUUGUAGUCUCGCAAACUAAACAAUUUGAGAAGGCUGUACGUCCAGCUGCUUAGAAGAGUACAGAACUGAAUAAGAAAUUCUGAUCUGAAGGCAAAGUUAUCUUCAAAUGCAGACAAAUUGAUGGAUGAAUGUUGAUCUGAAGCCAAAGUUAUCUUCAGAUUCAAACAAACUUUGAUCUAGUAAAAUGCUGAAAAAAUUGAAAGACAGCAGCAUGAAGCAUUUAAACGCUCUGAUACCAUGUUAGAAUUUAUUAAAUGAAGAAACUUCAAUUGAACUCCAUAAAGGAGAGGAACAAACUCCAUAAAGGAGAGGAACAAACUCCAUAAUAGGAGAAGAAAAGGCACUCCAUGAAAGGAGGAAAUACACUCCAUGAAGGAGAAGAGAAACCUCCAUAAAAGGAGGGAUUGGAAGACUAUUCUCCAAUGAGUUAACAAUGCAUACAAGUGCUCUAUUUAUAGAGCAAAACUAACUAACUAAGGAGGCAAUACGUAUGGAAGAAGAAGUCUCUAGAAUCUGCAUGCUGAACUGGAGGGAAUAUUUUGGUGGAAUCUGGUGAUGCACACUACACACGUGAAGUUAACUGGAAGUGAUGAAUGUUUGGUUCCAACAAGUGUCUUCGCCGGCACUGUGGUGUGGGGGUUGUGGUUCUCACAACCAUAAAAGUGAAG